ACUGGCUGACGAGUCCCACAAAGGACGAAAUGCGCAUCCUGGAU
rnacentral:hammerhead_ribozyme from 1 species